rnacentral:tRNA from 1 species
AGCUCAGUCAGUAGAGCAUGAAACUCUUAAUCUCAGGGUCGUGGGUUCGUGCCCCAU